rnacentral:rRNA from 1 species
GGGCGUUAAGGGCUUCGCAGGCGGUUUUUUAAGUCUGAAUGUGAAAGCCCCCGGCUCAACCGGGGAGGGUCAUUGGAAACUGGGAAACUUGAGUGCAGAAGAGGAGAGUGGAAUUCCACGUGUAGCGGUGAAAUGCGUAGAGAUGUGGAGGAACACCAGUGGCGAAGGCGACUCUCUGGUCUGUAACUGACGCUGAGGAGCGAAAGCGUGGGGAGCGAACAGGAUUAGAUACCCUGGUAGUCCACGCCGUAAACGAUGAGUGCUAAGUGUUAGGGGGUUUCCGCCCCUUAGUGCUGCAGCUAACGCAUUAAGCACUCCGCCUGGGGAGUACGGUCGCAAGACUGAAACUCAAAGGAAUUGACGGGGGCCCGCACAAGCGGUGGAGCAUGUGGUUUAAUUCGAAGCAACGCGAAGAACCUUACCAGGUCUUGACAUCCUCUGACAACCCUAGAGAUAGGGCUUUCCCUUCGGGGACAGAGUGACAGGUGGUGCAUGGUUGUCGUCAGCUCGUGUCGUGAGAUGUUGGGUUAAGUCCCGCAACGAGCGCAACCCUUGAUCUUAGUUGCCAGCAUUCAGUUGGGCACUCUAAGGUGACUGCCGGUGACAAACCGGAGGAAGGUGGGGAUGACGUCAAAUCAUCAUGCCCCUUAUGACCUGGGCUACACACGUGCUACAAUGGACAGAACAAAGGGCUG